rnacentral:rRNA from 1 species
CCCUUAGAUGUCCGGGGCCGCACGCGCGCUACACUGAAGGAAUCAGCGUGGCUUUCUCCCUGACCCGAAAGGGUUGGGAAACCCGUUGAAUCUCCUUCGUGAUAGGGAUUGGGGCUUGAAAUUGUUCCCCAUGAACGAGGAAUUCCCUGUAAGCGCGAGUCAUAAGCUCGCGUUGAUUACGUCCCUGCCCUUUGUACACACCGCCCGUCGCUACUACCGAUUGAACGGUUUAGUGAGGGCCUCGGAUUGGUCUCGGCCCGCUCUUUACCGGGCGGCGCCGUUGGUCGAGAAGACGCUCGAACUUGAUCGUUUAGAGGAAGUAAAAGUCGUAACA